ensembl:lncRNA novel transcript
GGAGCUUGAAACAAGGAGCUACUGCCCUCCCCCGGCCAAUUGGCCACAGAAUGAAUCAUCCAUUAAGAUACAGGAAAGUUCACCACAUUCUCAGAACAGAAGAUGCUGGCUGCUGGAAAACAAUGUCAGGAGGUCUUGUUGCGCCCCGUCUCCAGGACUAGAAGUCACUCGCCUUCCUUACUCUGCAAGGGGUUAUUAUGAGUGUAAAGAGACAAAACGAGGCUGAAGUGUUCAUUCUAAGGCGCCGUUAUUGUUAGAGCCAAACGACCAAUGUGGUUCACCUGACGCAAGCCUUACCUUCUGAGAAAGGGACGGGGCCUCGAAUCCGGAAGCCCAUCGCAGAGGUCUGGUGUUGAAGACUCAACUCUGAACCCUGAUGCUCACAGCAACGACUUCUGGCAAAACUGCCUAGCUUCGCCAUUCCAGGAAGCACCCACUUGAGCCAGCUGAUUGCAAUCACUUAUUGACCUUAAACUGGCCCAGUUUGGAGAGGGAUUUUGUCUGGGUCGGAAGAUAAAAGCAGCUUGCUUGGCUUUUUCGGAGCUUUUUCAGCUUGCCUACCUAUUGUAGCAAACAUUAAAAUAGCACCGGCUAUAUUACACAUCAACUGUAACUGCUGGGAUUACAGGCAUGAGCCACUGCGCCCAGCCUCUCUUUGCAUCUUUAUUUUUACAUCUGUAUUUGCUUGAAAUUUUCAUUGAUAAAAUAUAAGAAAUUCUUUGGAAAGAGUAUAA